UACAGAGGGUGCAAGCGUUGCUCGGAAUCACUGGGCGUAAAGCGCACGUAGGCGGAUUGUUAAGUCAGGGGUGAAAUCCUGGAGCUCAACUCCAGAACUGCCUUUGAUACUGGCGAUCUUGAGUCCGGGAGAGGUGAGUGGAACUCCCGAGUGUAGAGGUGAAAAUUCGUAGAUAUUCGGAAGAACACCAGUGGCGAAGGCGGCUCACUGGCCCGGUACUGACGCUGAUGUGCGAAAGCGUGGGGAGCAAACAGG
rnacentral:rRNA from 1 species